rnacentral:lncRNA from 1 species
GCCAUUUUGGAAGAAGAUGAAGAGGAUUCUGGAAAUUUCGUCAUCCCUGGAGGGGUCUGCAAUAAUUGGGUCGCUGUGGAUAUUCCAACAGUUAUCCAUAAGUCAAAGUAAUGAUCAUUAUGUUUGAAAACCCUUCUCCCAUGCCAAAAGGAGAAGUGAUGACAUUGUUGGCACAUAAAUACAAUGGUGUUUUCAUUCAAUAAAUUCAUGUUAAAUGUUUGUUUUUCCAAUUAUUUUCCUUUUUU